rnacentral:rRNA from 14 species
UUCGGGACCCGUCUUGAAACACGGACCAAGGAGUCUAACAUAUGUGCGAGUCAUUGGGAAAUGAAAACCCAAAGGCGUAAUUAACUUAACUGGUUUUAUAUGGGAUUAGUUUUUAGUCUAUCUAUAGUCUUUGAAUUCAAUCCCGGGGCGUUCUAUACAGUUAUGUAUGAUGAUAUUUAUAUUAUUUAUGCCUCUAACUAGAGCGUACCUUGAGCAUAUAUGCUGUGACCCGAAAGAUGGUGAACUAUACUUGAUCAGGUUGAAGUCAGGGGAAACCCUGAUGGAAGACCGAAACAGUUCUGACGUGCAAAUCGAUUGUCAGAAUUGAGUAUAGGGGCGAAAGACCAAUCGAACCAUCUAGUAGCUGGUUCCCUCCGAAGUUUCCCU